rnacentral:rRNA from 1 species
AUGAACGCUGGCGGCGUGCCUAAUACAUGCAAGUCGAGCGAACAGAUGAGGAGCUUGCUCCUCUGACGUUAGCGGCGGACGGGUGAGUAACACGUGGAUAACCUACCUAUAAGACUGGGAUAACUUCGGGAAACCGUAGCUAAUACCGGAUAAUAUAUUGAACCGCAUGGUUCAAUAGUGAAAGACGGUUUUGCUGUCACUUAUAGAUGGAUCCGCGCCGCAUUAGCUAGUUGGUAAGGUAACGGCUUACCAAGGCAACGAUGCGUAGCCGACCUGAGAGGGUGAUCGGCCACACUGGAACUGAGACACGGUCCAGACUCCUACGGGAGGCAGCAGUAGGGAAUCUUCCGCAAUGGGCGAAAGCCUGACGGAGCAACGCCGCGUGAGUGAUGAAGGUCUUCGGAUCGUAAAACUCUGUUAUUAGGGAAGAACAAAUGUGUAAGUAACUAUGCACGUCUUGACGGUACCUAAUCAGAAAGCCACGGCUAACUACGUG